GGUAGAAGGGGGUGAAUGGGAAAGUAAAUAAGAGUCCAUCCAUCUUAUUUGGAUAUUUUAAUGAAGGAUAGGAGGAAGAUGAAAAGUAAUUUACCUUCUCCUUGUUUGGUAAAAAGGUGGAGAAGAAAGAAGUUAUAAUUAUACAAUUAUAUGUAUACCCCUCAAUAUCAAACAGAAGAAAAGAUACACAGUUGACAAGAUAACAGCAAACAUCCUCAUCCCUUCAAC
rnacentral:misc_RNA from 1 species